GUAGGAGGUGAUAGGCAAUGAGGAAGGCUGUGAUGAAGACCGGAUGCUUAAUCUGGGAGGUGAUGGGGAGCUAAGACCAGAUGUGAUCGGGGCUACUGAGGCGUGUCCGUAUGGCUGGUAGGGAUAGGGAGAGGGAACAGGUAGGCCAGUGAUACGGUUUGGCUGUGUUCUCACCCAAAUCUCAUCUUGAAUAGCAGUUCCCACAAUCCCACGUGUUGUGGGAGGGACAGGGUGGGAGGUAACUGAAUCAUGGGGGCGGUUACUGCUGUUCUCGGGACAGCGCGUGAGUUCUCACGAGAUCUGAUGGUUUUAUAAGUGACUUUUCCCACCUUCACUCUCCAUUUCUCCUUGCUGUCACCAUGUGAAGGAGGACGUGUUUGCUUCCCCUCUCGGCCAUAAUUAUGGAGCCUUUCUUACACUGGAGAAAGAAGCCCCAUAGCCUAGGACUGGUGUGAAUGACUGCAAAGGUAGUUGCCUCUUGGAGAAGCCUCCUGGCCCCAUUCUUGGUCUGGUGAUGUGAGUGGGGCUGACCUCAUUUUUGGCUCCAGGGAAGAAUAUAGCCUCCAGGCCUGGGUAACAAGCACGCCACAUUCUCUGGUCGGAGGCUUCAUCUCAUGCAGCUAUGGAGACCAGGGAAAGGGAAUGACUGGCAGCAGGACACAUGUCGGCUGGUGGCCAGGCGGGGAUAAGAACUCUGGCCCUGAGCACUGUGUGCUUGCUGAAGCAUGCUGCUCCAAGCUUUAGACUCUCCAUUUGUUGUCCAUGCUGGAGUGCAGUGGCACAAUCUUGGCUCACUGCAACGUCUACCUCCCAGGUUCAAGUGAUUCUCCUGUCUCAGCCUCCAAAGUAGCUGGGAUUACAGGUGUGCACCACCAUGCCUGGUUAAUUUUGUGUUUCUAGUAGAGAUGGGAUUUUGCCAUGUUGGUCAGUCUGGUCUCAAACUCCUGACCUCAAGUGAUCCACCCAUCUUGGCCUCCCAAAGUUCUGGGAUUACAGGCGUGAGCCACUGCGCCCAACCUAUCUUUCAUUUUUCAAUGAAUAUUUUCACCACAUUUUUAUUUGCUGUUUAGCUUUGCUUCUCUUCCUUUGAUGUACAAAAUAUUUAACAAAUACUUCUCAGGCUGCCCACAUAAUGCAAGGGAUUGUUUUAGGCAAAAAAAAUCUUUCUGAAUACUUAGAUAAUUCCUUUUUUUGGACUCCCUGCCAUGUCCCAGUCCUUUGCGUGAGCAGGUUUAUAGAGAGCCCUUUCAUCUUUAGAGAGAGGGCCAGAAACAACUCUGAGAGGCAUGGUUUUUCACUGCACUUUAGGGCAAAAAAAAGACAAAGGUGAGAAUUGUUUGCGCCAAUUAUUUACGCAGACUCAUUUUAUCCUUCUUUCUAAACAACUAUUUGUAGGGAAGGAGAAGAGGGGGACAGGGGCUUUAAAAGUCACAAGAUUAACCUGCGGAAAGGAAAGUCCCUAGAAGAGAGCAAGACUGUGAGUGUGAAGGGAGGACCCAGCUGCCGGGGGGGAAAGCUCUCCUCCAACUCCCUGUUUCCUAUUCUGCACCCCCAACUUCUCCCAAGCUCCUUUAAAGGUUGAUCGUGACAAGAAGCCUGGAGAUGGUAUUUAUAGCCAUCGGUAGAACAUAUAGCUACGAGGCCAAGUGCUGUGGUGGUUCACACCUGUAAUUCCAGCCCUUUGGGAGGCUGAGGCAGGAGGAUCAUUUGAGCCCCGGAGUUCAAGACCAGCCUGGGCAACACAGUGAGACCCCAUCUUUCCAAAUAAUAAUAAUAAUAAUAGCCAGGUGUGGUGGCGUGCAUCUAUAGUCUCAGCUCCUCAUGAGGCUGGGGUAGGAGGAGAUGGAGGCUGGGAGUUUGAGGCUACAAUGAGCCAUGUUUGCAUCACUGCAUUCAGCAUGGGCAACAGAGUGAGACCCUGUAUCCAAAAAAGAAAAAGAAAACAGAAAAAGAACAUAUGCUGGAUACUCUCAGACUCUCAGAAGCAUCGGCCUUGGUGCCUUAUCACCUUGGUUCAAAUCCCAUCCCGCCUCUGCCAGUUAACAGAUGCCUAAAUGAGAGUGAGUCCCUUAAUCUUUCUGAGGGUCAGUUUUGUCAUUUGUGUGAGGGGAUACUCACUUGUGUGAUUGAUGAGGAUCAGUGGUCGCAUAUGUAAAGUGCAUAGCAGAGUCUGCCCACAGUGGGUGUGCAAUCAGAGGCCAUUCUAACAUACCAGGGAAUUAACUGGCAAGUUCUCAUGGGUCAUCAGUGUGCAGUCAGCAUCGCACAAGUUCUGUGACAGCAGGUUCUAACAGUCAACCUGCAUGAACUUGUAUGGUGUGGCCAAGGAGAUAGGGCACAGCUCACAAAGUGACUCUGCAGCUGUAUGUGACAGUGCAAAAGUGCUAAAUUAUAGAGGAGCGGUUUAAUUCUUCUCAGCAGAAAGGUAACUCCAUGGUUUGAAAUAAUUAGGAAAAGCUUCAUGGAAGAAGUAGGAGUUUAAGUUGGGUGUUGAUGCUUUAAGAAACAUAUUCUUUGAUUAGACAGAAUAUUUUUCCAUCUGAAAAUAAAAAUACAUACUUUCCUUUUAAACAAUAAUAUGUACUCUUUUAAAAAUGCUUAGACAAUAUAGUAAAUCAAUUAAAAAAUCUGACUGCCCAAGAAUACCUACUAUCAAUACUUUGUUGUAUGAAGUACAUAUAUAUUUGUAUACAAAUACAAUUUUGUUUGCCUAUUUAUGCAAAAAAGGAGAAUAUUUAAAUAUUGUAUUGUAGAAUAUUCCAUAAUACAGAGGCUUUAUAAUUUGUUUAAAUCAUUAUUGUUAAACGUUUAGGUUAUUUUAGCAUGGCUAAGUAUGUGAAUGCCUCAGUUUAAUUGAUCAAUAGCUUAGGGAUUUUGGCCCAGUUAUGGCUGGAUCACUUUUCAGAAAGGUUAUAAAAGUUGUGUCAAUUUAUACCACCUUCCACCACCAGUUUAUAAAGGUUCCCUUUUCCCUACAUCCUUCACAGUAUUGGCAAUUGUCAGUAUUUUACAGUCAUUGCUAAGCCUCCAGGUAAAAAUUAUAUCACUCCUUUAAUGUGUAUUUUUAGACUACGUUGUGUUAAUCGUGGUAAUACACGGUCCUAGCUCUCUCCUCUCAGAUCUCGGAGACCAGUAGGUUAAAGAGACAUUAAGAAAGUAAUUACUGUAAAUGUGAUGAGGGGUGUUAGAAUGUGCAUUUCUUGGAUCAUCCAGUCAGGUCCUUAAUGAAUAAAGUAACACAGGCCCCUUGUGU